rnacentral:rRNA from 1 species
UACAGAGGGGGCAAGCGUUGUUCGGAAUUACUGGGCGUAAAGCGCACGUAGGCGGUUAUUCAAGUCAGAGGUGAAAGCCCGGGGCUCAACUCCGGAACUGCCUUUGAAACUAGAUAGCUUGAAUCCAGGAGAGGUGAGUGGAAUUCCGAGUGUAGAGGUGAAAUUCGUAGAUAUUCGGAAGAACACCAGUGGCGAAGGCGGCUCACUGGCCCGGGACUGACGCUGAGGUGCGAAAGCGUGGGGAGCAAACAGG